AGGACGGAAGUCUCCCAGAGGUGGAGCGGGUCCCCUCCACCUAACUCAGGAAUAGGGAUCCCCAGCCCCAUUUUCCUGGAUGUGUGAAGCAGGGAAUCUCCAUUUAUGAACACCUUGGAGGAGGGGCCGCAACCCUAGAACCUGUGGGUCUGAGGGAGGAGGCGUCUGGAGUCCAAGAAACUUAGUUUGCAGGAGGAGGCAUCUGGGGAACCAGGUCACCUGAGGGAGGAUGGUUCAGGGGCCUUGGGCCCCUGGGUCUGAGGAAGGAGGCAGCUGUGGACCUGAACAAAGUCUGAGGGAGGAGGCAGCGGGCACCCGCACUCCCUGUAAUGGUGUGGUAAACUUCUGCCCCUGAUCACACUCAACACUUCCCAUUCCCCCACCUCGGAGCCUGGCCAGCCAGACACUCCAGGUAUGCGCAGUCGGAGUCUUGGGCGGGCCCUGGCCUGUCCUGCGAGGAGCGAACAUUCCAGGAAGCAGCCUCAGGGACCCAGAGCGUGGGCCGGCGGGGACCCGGGUGUCCAGGCCAGCCCCACCUCCGCCGCGUUUAGUGGAGGACUGGAGGACGGGAGGAGGGGAUGUAAUCUCUUCCAGUUGCCUCACCUGCCCCUCCUCUCUGCUCCCCCCCCCC
rnacentral:lncRNA from 1 species